AAAGAAAGUAAGCAAGGGCGCAUGGCGGAUGCCUUGGCUCUCGGAGGCGAUGAAGGACGUGAUAAGCUGCGAUAAGCUUCGGGUAGGUGCAAAUAACCUUUGAUCCGAAGAUUUCCGAAUGGGACAACCCGUCAUUCUGAAGGAAUGACAUCUUGCAUAGCAAGAGGCUAACGCAGGGAACUGAAACAUCUUAGUACCUGCAGGAAAAGAAAAUAAUAAUGAUUCCCCUAGUAGUGGCGAGCGAACGGGGAUUAGCCCAAACCAAUGUUGUUACGGCAAUAUUGGGGUUGUAGGACCACGAUGUCGCAAGAACUUUAGUGAGAAGAAUUCUUUGGAAAAUGAAACCAUAGACGGUGAUAGUCCGGUAUUCGAAGCUAAACGAAGCGUAGUGGUAUCCUGAGUAGCGCGGGACACGAGGAAUCUUGCGUGAAUCUGCCGGGACCAUCCGGUAAGGCUAAAUACUCCCGAGAGACCGAUAGCGAACCAGUACUGUGAAGGAAAGGUGAAAAGCACUUCGAAUAGAAGAGUGAAAUAGUCCCUGAAACCGUGCGCCUACAAGCGGUCGGAGCAGCGUAAGUUGUGACGGCGUGCCUUUUGCAUAAUGAACCUACGAGUUACUUUUUCCGGCAAGGUUAAGCAUUUCAAAAUGUGUAGCCGAAGCGAAAGCGAGUCUGAACAGGGCGAUUAGUCGGAAGGAGUAGACGCGAAACCAAGUGAUCUACCCUUGGUCAGGUUGAAGGUUAGGUAACACUAACUGGAGGACCGAACCGAUAAGCGUUGAAAAGCUUCCGGAUGAACUGAGGGUGGGGGUGAAAGGCUAAUCAAACUUGGAGAUAGCUCGUACUCCCCGAAAUGCAUUUAGGUGCAGCCUUGGGAAUUACUACUGUGAGGUAGAGCGACUGAUAAGAUGCGAGGGCUUCACCGCCUAUCAAGUCUUGAUAAACUCCGAAUGCGCAGUAGUUCGAUCCCAGGAGUGAGGGCAUGGGUGCUAAGGUCCAUGUCCUAAAGGAGAAGAAUCCGGACCAUCAGCUAAGGUCCCGAAAUAAUUGCUAAGUUGAACUAACGAAGUCAGAUUGCUAAGACAGCUAGGAUGUUGGCUUGGAAGCAGCCAUUCAUUUAAAGAGUGCGUAACAGCUCACUAGUCGAGGAGUUUGGCGUGGAUAAUAAUCGGGCAUCAAGCAAUUUACCGAAGCUAUGGGAU
rnacentral:rRNA from 1 species